CUCGAGACGGACUCUUGUUUCUGUACGCCUCACACCCGCGUAUCCCGCGUCUGAUCUGCCCGAUCCUUCCGAUCCGUGUGCGAUUCGCCGGCAUACGCGCAACGCCGCACACCCGUCGAUCUCCUCUCUCGAUCCCUUGCCUGCGACCCCGGUGAGCUCCGCCAGCCUGAGCAGCGGUGACGAGAAAUUCUCCCGCCUUGAACACCUCUGUUUCGAACGCCUCCGCUCCUCCCGAAGAUCACCGGCGACCAUCCAUCUCCAGUUGUACGCCGCCGUCUCCAGAACCAAUCCCCGACGCUUCCGAGGACAUUCUUGAGCUCACAAAGCUCCACCGCGUCGUGCAGCUCCUUCCCCUUGCCUCGCAGACCCCAGAAGCCUCGCCAGUGGCAACGCCCGAAGCCGCCGCGCCGUCACUCCCAAGUCCAAUGACAUCUCCGACGAGGAAUUCCCCACCACGGUAAAUCCUAGCUCCAAUAAAACAUCAGCCGUCCAUCGCGACCUAAUCCAACGACCCACGGAGCCUCCAGCUGCGAAGGGGUAUCUGGCAAUCACGUGCUGCCACAUGUCCAUGAAUUUUGUUUUAAUUUCUUUUUUCGGUUGAAACUAUUUCUGUAAUUUUACAGAUAGGCCCUUGUAACUUCAGUCUAUCAUAUCUCUUUAACUGUAACUCCAAGUGGGGCAAAACUUUUUGUAGAGUGAUCCUCGUGAGACCAUCUAACCGUUGACACCAUAA